rnacentral:rRNA from 1 species
UGCGAGUCGAAUGUAGCAAUACAUGGCGUACUGCUCAGUAACACGUGGACAACCUACCCUCCGGACGGGUAUAAACCCGGGAAACUGGGUAUAAUCCCCGAUAGAUCUCGGUCGCUGGAAAGCCCCGAGAUCGAAAGCUCCGGCGCCAGAGGAUGGGUCUGCGGCCUAUCAGGUAGUAGUGGGUGUAGCGUACCUACUAGCCUACGACGGGUACGGGUUGUGAGAGCAAGAGCCCGGAGAUGGAUUCUGAGACACGAAUCCAGGCCCUACGGGGUGCAGCAGGCGCGAAAACUUUACAAUGCCGGCAACGGCGAUAAGGGGACCUCGAGUGCCAGGUUACAAAUCUGGCUGUCGUGAUGCCUAAAAAGCAUUGCAUAGCAAGGGCCGGGCAAGACCGGUGCCAGCCGCCGCGGUAACACCGGCGGCUCGAGUGGUAACCGUUAUUAUUGGGUCUAAAGGGUCUGUAGCCGGCCGGAUAAGUCUCUUGAGAAAUCCAGCAGCUCAACUGUUGGGCUUUCAGGAGAUACUGUCUGGCUCGAGGCCGGGAGAGGUGAGAGGUACUUCAGGGGUAGGGGUGAAAUCUUGUAAUCCUUGAAGGACCACCAGUGGCGAAGGCGUCUCACCAGAACGGACCUGACGGCAAGGGACGAAAGCUAGGGGCACGAACCGGAUUAGAUACCCGGGUAGUCCUAGCCGUAAACGAUACUCGCUAGGUGUCGGCCACGGUGCGACCGUUGUCGGUGCCGUAGGGAAGCCGUGAAGCGAGCCACCUGGGAAGUACGGCCGCAAGGCUGAAACUUAA